CUNCCGGUGAUCCUGCCGGACCCGACUGCUAUCAGAGUGGGACUAAGCCAUGCGAGUCAACAUAGCAAUAUGUGGCAUACGGCUCAGUAACACGUAGUCAACAUGCCCAGGGGACGUGGAUAACCUCGGGAAACUGAGGAUAAACCGCGAUAGGUCAUCACUUCUGGAAUGGGUAAUGACUUAAAUCUAUAUGGCCCCUGGAUUGGACUGCGGCCGAUCAGGCUGUUGGUGAGGUAAUGGCCCACCAAACCUGUAACCGGUACGGGCUCUGAGAGGAGGAGCCCGGAGAUGGGCACUGAGACAAGGGCCCAGGCCCUAUGGGGCGCAGCAGGCGCGAAACCUCUGCAAUAGGCGAAAGCUUGACAGGGUUACUCUGAGUGAUUUCCGUUAAGGAGAUCUUUUGGCACCUCUAAAAAUGGUGCAGAAUAAGGGGUGGGCAAGUCUGGUGUCAGCCGCCGCGGUAAUACCAGCACCCCGAGUGGUCGGGACGUUUAUUGGGCCUAAAGCAUCCGUAGCCGGUUCUACAAGUCUUCCGUUAAAUCCACCUGCUUAACAGAUGGGCUGCGGAAGAUACUAUAGAGCUAGGAGGCGGGAGAGGCAAGCGGUACUCGAUGGGUAGGGGUAAAAUCCGUUGAUCCAUUGAAGACCACCAGUGGCGAAGGCGGCUUGCCAGAACGCGCUCGACGGUGAGGGAUGAAAGCUGGGGGAGCAAACCGGAUUAGAUACCCGGGUAGUCCCAGCUGUAAACGAUGCAGACUCGGUGAUGAGUUGGCUUAUUGCUAACUCAGUGCCGCAGGGAAGCCGUUAAGUUUGCCGCCUGGGGAGUACGGUCGCAAGACUGAAACUUAAAGGAAUUGGCGGGGGAGCA
rnacentral:rRNA from 1 species